rnacentral:rRNA from 1 species
AGCGCCAGGGAAUUACGAGCCAUGCUUAAAACCCAAAGGAUUUGACGGUAUCCCAUCCACCUAGAGGAGCCUGUUCUAUAAUCGAUAACCCCCGCUAUACCCAACCACUCCUAGCUUAUCAGCCUGUAUACCUCCGUCGAAAGCCUACCAUGUGAAUGUUAUUAGUAAGCUUAAUGUCCCCGUCAAAACGUCAGGUCAAGGUGCAGCUCAUGGGGUGGGAAGAAAUGGGCUACAAUUUCUAACCUAGAACACACGAAAAACUAGGUGAAACCCUAGUAAUGAAGGCGGAUUUAGUAGUAAAAAGAAAAUAGAGUGUUCUUUUUAAUCUGGCCCUGGGAUGUGUACACACCGCCCGUCACCCUCUUCGACUGUAUUUAACACUGUUUUAUAACUUCCCCCCACAUUCUAGAAGAGGCAAGUCGUAACAUGGUAAGUGUACUGGAAAGUGCACUUGGCUAACAA